AGUAACACGUGAGAAACCUGCCCCCUAGUUGAGGAUAACCAUUCUAACGGUUGGCUAAUACUGAAUAUAGACGAAUGUCACCUGGCAUUCGAUCCAAAGGCUUCGGCCGCUGGGGGAUGGUCUCGCGUCUGAUUAGCUUGUUGGUGAGGUAGUGGCUCACCAAGGCGACGAUCAGUAGCCGGCCUGAGAGGGUGAUCGGCCACAUUGGGACUGAGAUACGGCCCAGACUCC
rnacentral:rRNA from 1 species